rnacentral:rRNA from 1 species
UACGUAGGGGGCAAGCGUUGUCCGGAUUGAUUGGGCGUAAAGAGCGUGUAGGCGGCUAGAUAGGUCCGUUGUGAAAACUCGAGGCUCAACCUCGAGACGUCGAUGGAAACCAUCUGGCUAGAGUCCGGAAGAGGAGAGUGGAAUUCCUGGUGUAGCGGUGAAAUGCGCAGAUAUCAGGAAGAACACCCGUGGCGAAGGCGGCUCUCUGGUACGUGACUGACGCUGAGACGCGAAAGCGUGGGGAGCGAACAGG